rnacentral:rRNA from 1 species
CCUACGGGGCGCACCAGUGGGGAAUAUUGCACAAUGGGCGCAAGCCUGAUGCAGCCAUGCCGCGUGUAUGAAGAAGGCCUUCGGGUUGUAAAGUACUUUCAGCGGGGAGGAAGGUGUUGUGGUUAAUAACCACAGCAAUUGACGUUACUCGCAGAAGAAGCACCGGCUAACUCCGUGCCAGCAGCCGCGGUAAUACGGAGGGUGCAAGCGUUAAUCGGAAUUACUGGGCGUAAAGCGCACGCAGGCGGUCUGUCAAGUCGGAUGUGAAAUCCCCGGGCUCAACCUGGGAACUGCAUUCGAAACUGGCAGGCUAGAGUCUUGUAGAGGGGGGUAGAAUUCCAGGUGUAGCGGUGAAAUGCGUAGAGAUCUGGAGGAGUACCGGUGGCGAAGGCGGCCCCCUGGACAAAGACUGACGCUCAGGUGCGAAAGCGUGGGGAGCAAACAGGAUUAGAUACCCGCGUAGUC